GACGAACGCUGGCGGCGUGCUUAACACAUGCAAGUCGAACGGAAAGGCCCUGCUUGCCGGGUGCUCGAGUGGCGAACGGGUGAGUAACACGUGGGUGAUCUGCCCCUUACUUUGGGAUAAGCCUGGGAAACUGGGUCUAAUACUGGAUAGGACCAUGCUGUAGGUGGUGUGGUGGAAAGAUUAGUUUCGGUAAGGGAUGAGCUCGCGGCCUAUCAGCUUGUUGGUGGGGUAAUGGCCUACCAAGGCGUCGACGGGUAGCCGGCCUGAGAGGGUGGACGGCCACAUUGGGACUGAGAUACGGCCCAGACUCCUACGGGAGGCAGCAGUGGGGAAUAUUGCACAAUGGGCGCAAGCCUGAUGCAGCGACGCCGCGUGGAGGAUGACGGCCUUCGGGUUGUAAACUCCUUUCAGCCAUGACGAAGCCCUUGUGGUGACGGUAGUGGUAGAAGAAGCACCGGCUAACUACGUG
rnacentral:rRNA from 1 species